CUUAAAGGAAUUGACGGGGCCCGCACAAGCGGUGGAGCAUGUGGUUUAAUUCGAUGAUACGCGAGGAACCUUACCUGGGCUCAAAUGUAUGUUGACGUAUUCUGAAAGGGAUACUUCUUCGGACAAUAUACAAGGUGCUGCAUGGUUGUCGUCAGCUCGUGCCGUGAGGCGUCGGGUUAAGUCCCAUAACGAGCGCAACCCCUAUCAUUAAUUGCCAUCAGGUCAAGCUGGGGACUCUAAUGAAACUGCCUACGCAAGUAGUGAGGAAGGUGGGGAUGACGUCAAAUCAGCACGGCCCUUACGUCCAGGGCUACACACGUGCUACAAUGGCCGAUACAGAGGGCAGCUACCUGGUGACAGGAUGCAAAUCUCCAAAGUCGGUCUCAGUUCGGAUCGGAGUCUGCAACCCGACUCCGUGAAGUUGGAUUCGCUAGUAAUCGCGCAUCAGCCAUGGCGCGGUGAAUACGUUCCCGGGCCUU
rnacentral:rRNA from 1 species